CUCAGAUGAGACUUUGGACUGCAGCUUUUGACUUAAUGCUGAAAUGCGACUCACAGGCUCCUGGUGGGUGGAAUGAGUCACACUGGACCAAGUGUAUGACCCCUAUCCUUGCUGACUAUGAGGCUAAGGAAGAGACAGCAGAAGGGAGGAAAGACGACAACAGCAUCUCAAAAACAAAAGAGCAAGAGAUGAUGGUGACAACAGGGAUUAGGAAGUUACAUGUCAAAAUGCACAGCAAACAGAAAUAAACAGGGCAGUGAAAAACACACCUGGGCCAGGCUUUGAGCACCAGAGGCUCAUGUCUACCACAGAUGGCCCACCUGAGGGGAACAUCAAUGGAAUAAAGGCUGGACAAAGGUGAGAUGGCGCCGAGCUAGGCUAGAUUUGAAAGCAGAGUCAGGAAAAUAAUAGAUACUGGAAAUCAAGAAAUCAGGGCAUUGAAUGAUGACAGGAGAGCAUGACUUCCUGGAGCUGGAGACAUUUCUAAGCAGUUGGCCUCCUAUAGAUUUCCUAUGAGGUGUAUCCUGGAUCUUCUAGAAGAUAUCUGAUAAUUAGAUACCAGGGUAAAAUGGAACUAGUGAACAUAUUAAUGUCCUUUUUUUUUAAUGUAUUUUUCUGGUCGUAAAAGUAGAACAUACUGAUGCAAAGUGUAAAGGCAAAAAUAAUCAAAUCCUAUCACCAAGGGAACUUAUUAAGAGUCUUUUUGGGGAUUCCCUGUUCAAUAAAUGAUGCUGGGAUAGCUGGCUAGCCAUAUGCAGAAGUAUGAAACUCUGGACCACAACUUUUCACCAUAUACAAAAAUUAACUCAAGAUGGAUUAAAGAUUUAAAUGUAAGAUCUCAAACUAUAAGAAUCCUAGAAGAACACUUAGGAAACACCAUUCUGGACAUCAGCCUCGGGAAAGAAUGUAUAACUAAGUCCUGAAAAGCAACUGCAACAACAACAACAAAAAAAUGGACAAGUGGGACCUAAUUAAACUAAAGAGCUUCUGCACAACAAAAGAAAAUCAUCAACAGAGUAAACACAACCUACAAAAUGGGAGAAAAUAUUCACAAACUAUGCAUUUAACAAAGGUCUAAUAUCCUGAAUUUAUUAGGAACUUAAACAAUUCAACAAGCAAAAAACAAAUAACUAUUAAAAAGUGAGCAAGAGACAUGAAAAGACACUUCUCAAAAGAAGACAGACAAGCAGCCAACACACAUAUGCAAAAUGUUCAACCCCAUUACUCAUUAGGGAAAUGCAAAUCAAAACCACAACAAGAUAGCAUCUCACACCAGUCAGAAUGGCUACUAUUAAAAAGUCAAAAAAUAACAGAUACUGGUGAGACUGCAGAGCAAAGAGAACACUUAUACACUGUUAGUGGGAAUGUAAAUUAGCUCAGUCACUGUGGAAAGCAGUUUGGAGAUUUCCCAAGGAACUUAAAACAGAACUGCCAUUCAACACAACAAUCCAAUUACUGGGUAUAUAGCCCCAAGAAAAUAUAUUGUUCUACCAAAAAGACACAUACACUGAUAUGUUUAUCACAGCACUAUUCACAGUAGCAAAGACAUGGCAUCAACCUAGGUGCCCGUCUACGGUGGAUUGCACAAAGAAAACGUGGUACUUUUAUACCUUGGAAUACUAUGCAACCAUAAAAACAAUGAAAUCAUGUUCUAUGCAACAACACGGAUGCAGCUGGAGGCCAUUAUCCUAAGCAAAUUAACACAAGAACAGAAAACCAAAUACUCCAUGUUCUCACUUGUAAGUGGAAAUUAAACAUGGAUAUAAAGAUGGCAACAAUAGACACUAAAGACUACUAGAGUGGGAAUGGAGGGAAGCAAGGGUUAAAAAACUAUCGAGUACUAUGCUCACUACCUGGGUGAUAGAAUCAGUUGUACCCCAAACCUCAGCACCAUGCAACAUACCCAUGUAACAAACCUGCGUAUGUACUCC
rnacentral:lncRNA from 10 species